rnacentral:rRNA from 1 species
CCCUUAGAGUUUGAUCAUGGCUCAGAACGAACGCUGGCGGCACGCCUAACACAUGCAAGUCGAACGAUAAGCUAUCUUCGGAUAGUGGACAGUGGCGGACGGGUGAGUAACACGUGGGAACAUACCUUUUGGUACGGAACAACCAUUGGAAACGAUGGCUAAUACCGUAUAAGCCCUUAGGGGGAAAGAUUUAUCGCCGAAAGAUUGGCCCGCGCUAGAUUAGUUAGUUGGUGAGGUAAAAGCUCACCAAGGCGACGAUCUAUAGCUGGUUUGAGAGGAUGAUCAGCCACACUGGGACUGAGACACGGCCCAGACUCCUACGGGAGGCAGCAGUGGGGAAUAUUGGACAAUGGGGGCAACCCUGAUCCAGCGAUGCCGCGUGAGUGAUGAAGGCCUUAGGGUUGUAAAACUCUUUCAGGGGUGAAGAUAAUGACGGUAACCCCAGAAGAAGCUCCGGCUAACUCCGUGCCAGCAGCCGCGGUAAUACGGAGGGAGCUAGCGUUGUUCGGAAUUACUGGGCGUAAAGCGCGCGUAGGCGGCUUUGCAAGUAGAGGGUGAAAUCCCGGGGCUUAACCUCGGAACUGCCUCCUAAACUGCAGAGCUAGAAUCCUGGAGAGGUGAGCGGAAUUCCUAGUGUAGAGGUGAAAUUCGUAGAUAUUAGGAAGAACACCAGUGGCGAAGGCGGCUCACUGGACAGGUAUUGACGCUGAGGUGCGAAAGCGUGGGGAGCGAACAGGAUUAGAUACCCUGGUAGUCCACGCCGUAAACGAUGGGUGCUAGGUGUUG